GGUUAAGCGACUAAGCGUACACGGUGGAUGCCCUGGCAGUCAGAGGCGAUGAAGGACGUGCUAAUCUGCGAUAAGCGUCGGUAAGGUGAUAUGAACCGUUAUAACCGGCGAUUUCCGAAUGGGGAAACCCAGUGUGAUUCGUCACACUAUCAUUAACUGAAUCCAUAGGUUAAUGAGGCGAACCGGGGGAACUGAAACAUCUAAGUACCCUGAGGAAAAGAAAUCAACCGAGAUUCCCCCAGUAGCGGCGAGCGAACGGGGAGGAGCCCAGAGCCUGAAUCAGUGUGUGUGUUAGUGGAAGCGUCUGGAAAGGCGCGCGAUACAGGGUGACAGCCCCGUACACAAAAAUGCACAUAUUGUGAGCUCGAUGAGUAGGGCGGGACACGUGGUAUCCUGUCUGAAUAUGGGGGGACCAUCCUCCAAGGCUAAAUACUCCUGACUGACCGAUAGUGAACCAGUACCGUGAGGGAAAGGCGAAAAGAACCCCGGCGAGGGGAGUGAAAAAGAACCUGAAACCGUGUACGUACAAGCAGUGGGAGCACGCUUCGGCGUGUGACUGCGUACCUUUUGUAUAAUGGGUCAGCGACUUAUAUUCUGUAGCAAGGUUAACCGAAUAGGGGAGCCGAAGGGAAACCGAGUCUUAACUGGGCGUUAAGUUGCAGGGUAUAGACCCGAAACCCGGUGAUCUAGCCAUGGGCAGGUUGAAGGUUGGGUAACACUAACUGGAGGACCGAACCGACUAAUGUUGAAAAAUUAGCGGAUGACUUGUGGCUGGGGGUGAAAGGCCAAUCAAACCGGGAGAUAGCUGGUUCUCCCCGAAAGCUAUUUAGGUAGCGCCUCGUGAAUUCAUCUCCGGGGGUAGAGCACUGUUUCGGCAAGGGGGUCAUCCCGACUUACCAACCCGAUGCAAACUGCGAAUACCGGAGAAUGUUAUCACGGGAGACACACGGCGGGUGCUAACGUCCGUCGUGAAGAGGGAAACAACCCAGACCGCCAGCUAAGGUCCCAAAGUCAUGGUUAAGUGGGAAACGAUGUGGGAAGGCCCAGACAGCCAGGAUGUUGGCUUAGAAGCAGCCAUCAUUUAAAGAAAGCGUAAUAGCUCACUGGUCGAGUCGGCCUGCGCGGAAGAUGUAACGGGGCUAAACCAUGCACCGAAGCUGCGGCAGCGACGCUUAUGCGUUGUUGGGUAGGGGAGCGUUCUGUAAGCCUGCGAAGGUGUGCUGUGAGGCAUGCUGGAGGUAUCAGAAGUGCGAAUGCUGACAUAAGUAACGAUAAAGCGGGUGAAAAGCCCGCUCGCCGGAAGACCAAGGGUUCCUGUCCAACGUUAAUCGGGGCAGGGUGAGUCGACCCCUAAGGCGAGGCCGAAAGGCGUAGUCGAUGGGAAACAGGUUAAUAUUCCUGUACUUGGUGUUACUGCGAAGGGGGGACGGAGAAGGCUAUGUUGGCCGGGCGACGGUUGUCCCGGUUUAAGCGUGUAGGCUGGUUUUCCAGGCAAAUCCGGAAAAUCAAGGCUGAGGCGUGAUGACGAGGCACUACGGUGCUGAAGCAACAAAUGCCCUGCUUCCAGGAAAAGCCUCUAAGCAUCAGGUAACAUCAAAUCGUACCCCAAACCGACACAGGUGGUCAGGUAGAGAAUACCAAGGCGCUUGAGAGAACUCGGGUGAAGGAACUAGGCAAAAUGGUGCCGUAACUUCGGGAGAAGGCACGCUGAUAUGUAGGUGAAGUCCCUCGCGGAUGGAGCUGAAAUCAGUCGAAGAUACCAGCUGGCUGCAACUGUUUAUUAAAAACACAGCACUGUGCAAACACGAAAGUGGACGUAUACGGUGUGACGCCUGCCCGGUGCCGGAAGGUUAAUUGAUGGGGUUAGCGCAAGCGAAGCUCUUGAUCGAAGCCCCGGUAAACGGCGGCCGUAACUAUAACGGUCCUAAGGUAGCGAAAUUCCUUGUCGGGUAAGUUCCGACCUGCACGAAUGGCGUAAUGAUGGCCAGGCUGUCUCCACCCGAGACUCAGUGAAAUUGAACUCGCUGUGAAGAUGCAGUGUACCCGCGGCAAGACGGAAAGACCCCGUGAACCUUUACUAUAGCUUGACACUGAACAUUGAGCCUUGAUGUGUAGGAUAGGUGGGAGGCUUUGAAGUGUGGACGCCAGUCUGCAUGGAGCCGACCUUGAAAUACCACCCUUUAAUGUUUGAUGUUCUAACGUUGACCCGUAAUCCGGGUUGCGGACAGUGUCUGGUGGGUAGUUUGACUGGGGCGGUCUCCUCCUAAAGAGUAACGGAGGAGCACGAAGGUUGGCUAAUCCUGGUCGGACAUCAGGAGGUUAGUGCAAUGGCAUAAGCCAGCUUGACUGCGAGCGUGACGGCGCGAGCAGGUGCGAAAGCAGGUCAUAGUGAUCCGGUGGUUCUGAAUGGAAGGGCCAUCGCUCAACGGAUAAAAGGUACUCCGGGGAUAACAGGCUGAUACCGCCCAAGAGUUCAUAUCGACGGCGGUGUUUGGCACCUCGAUGUCGGCUCAUCACAUCCUGGGGCUGAAGUAGGUCCCAAGGGUAUGGCUGUUCGCCAUUUAAAGUGGUACGCGAGCUGGGUUUAGAACGUCGUGAGACAGUUCGGUCCCUAUCUGCCGUGGGCGCUGGAGAACUGAGGGGGGCUGCUCCUAGUACGAGAGGACCGGAGUGGACGCAUCACUGGUGUUCGGGUUGUCAUGCCAAUGGCACUGCCCGGUAGCUAAAUGCGGAAGAGAUAAGUGCUGAAAGCAUCUAAGCACGAAACUUGCCCCGAGAUGAGUUCUCCCUGACUCCUUGAGAGUCCUGAAGGAACGUUGAAGACGACGACGUUGAUAGGCCGGGUGUGUAAGCGCAGCGAUGCGUUGAGCUAACCGGUACUAAUGAACCGUGAGGCUUAACCUU
rnacentral:rRNA from 1 species